CAGUAGCCGCGGGAAUACGAAGGGGGCUAGCGUUGCUCGGAAUGACUGGGCGUAAAGGGCGCGUAGGCGGUUCGUACAGUUGGAUGUGAAAUUCCUGGGCUUAACCUGGGGGCUGCAUUCAAUACGUGCGGGCUUGAGUGUGGAAGAGGGUUGUGGAAUUCCCAGUGUAGAGGUGAAAUUCGUAGAUAUUGGGAAGAACACCGGUGGCGAAGGCGGCAACCUGGUCCAUAACUGACGCUGAGGCGCGAAAGCGUGGGGAGCAAACAGGAUUAGAUACCCCUGUAGUCCCUGUCUCUUAUAU
rnacentral:rRNA from 1 species